rnacentral:rRNA from 1 species
CGAUAACGAACGAGACCUUAACCUACUAAAUAGCUCAAUUAGCUUUGGCUGAUUGUUAGCUUCUUAGAGGGACUAUCUAUUUCAAGUAGAUGGAAGUUUGAGGCAAUAACAGGUCUGUGAUGCCCUUAGACGUUCUGGGCCGCACGCGCGCUACACUGAUAAAGUCAACAAGUAACUAACCUUUGCCGGAAGGCAUGGGUAAUCUUUUGAAACUUUAUCGUGCUGGGGAUAGAGCAUUGCAAUUAUUGCUCUUCAACGAGGAAUCCCUAGUAAGCAUGAGUCAUCAGCUCAUGUUGAUUACGUCCCUGCCCUUUGUACACACCGCCCGUCGCUACUACCGAUUGAAUGGCU